CUUGACUUGUAAAUACGCCAUGGUUGAAAAGACUGGGGAGAAAGGCAUGUGCAGGUGAUUCAAACGAGGAGCAUCUCGAGUACAGAGAGUACAGAUAAAAUGUGAUUUAACCAGCCUGAUACCAACCAGUUACUAUUAAAAGUUAGGUUAUGGUUGUGAUGUGUUUGUUUUCAAGUGGACAUACCGGGAGGAAUUAUCGUCACAGUGGUUGUUGGAGCCGGGGUUGUGGUUGUUGGAGCCAGGGUUGUGGUUGUUGGAGCUGUUGUUUUUGUUGUUGGAACUGGGGUUGUGUUUGUUGGACCCGGGGUUGUGGUUGUCGGAACUAAUGUUGUGGUUUUUAGAGCUGCAGCUGUGGUUUUUGGAGCCGCUGUUGUGGUUGUUGGAACCAAUGUUAUGGUUGUUGAAGCUGCUGUUGUGGUUUUUGGAGCCGCUAUUGUAGUUGUUUGAGCCGCGGUUGUUGUUGUUGGUGCAGUAGUUGUUGUUGGUGCAGCAGUUUUCGUUGUUGGUGCAGCAGUUUUCGUUGUUGGUGCAGCAGUUGUUGUCGUUGGUGCAGCAGCUGUUGUCGUUGGUGCAGCAGUUGUCGUUGUUUGUGCAGAAGUUGUUGUCGUUGGUGCAGCAGUUGCCGUUGUUGGUGCAGCAAUUGUCGUUGUUGGUACAGCAGUUGUUGUUGUAGGUGAAAAAGUUGUUGUUGUAGGUGCAGCAGUUGUGGUUGAUGCAGUAGUUGUUGUUUGUGCAGUAGUUGUUGUUGGUGCAGAAGUUGUUGUUGUUGGUGCAGCAGUUGUCGUUGGUGCAGCAGUUGUUGUUGUUGGUGCUACAAAUGUCGUUGUUGGUGCAGCAGUUGUCGUUGUUGGUGCAGCAGUUGUUGUCGUUGGUGCAGCAGUUGUCGUAGUUAGUGAAGCAGUUGUUGGUGCAGCAGUUGUCGUUUGUGCAGCAGUUGUCGUUGGUGCAGCAGUUGUCGUGGUUGGUGCAGCAGUUGUCGUUUGUGCAGCAGUUGUCGGUGAUCCAGCAGUUGUCGGUGUUGUUGCCACUGUUAUGGUUGUUGGAGCCGCUGUUAUGGUUGUUGGUGCCACUGUUGAAGUUGUUGGAGCUGCUGUUGUGGUAGCUGGAACUGUUGUGGUAGUUGGAACUGCUGUUGUGGUUGUUGGAGCAGCUGUUGUGGUUGUCGGAGCUGCUGUUGUGGUUGGUUGAUCCGGGCCUGUGGUUGUUGGAGCCGCUGUUGUGGUUGUUGGAGCUGCUGUUGUGGUUGGUGGACCCAGGCCUGUUGUUGUUGGAGCUGCAGUUGUCGUUUGUGCAGCAGAUGUCGUUGGUGCAAUAGUUGUCAAUGUUGGUGCAGCAGUUAUUGUCGUUGGUGCUGCAGUUGUCGUUGUUGAUGCAGCAGUUGUUGCUGUAGGUGCAACAGUUGUCGUUGUAGGUGCAGCAGUUGUGGUUGAUGCAGUAGUUGUUGUUGUUAGUGCAGUAGUUGUUGUUGUUGUUCCUGCAGCAGUUGUCGUUGUUGGUGCAGCAGUUAUUGUAGUUGGUGCAGCAGUUGUCGUUGUUAGUGAAGCAGUUGUUGGUGCAGCAGUUGUCAUUGGUGUAGCAGUGGUUGGUGUUGGUACAGCAGUUGUCGUUAUUGGUGCGACAGUUGUCAAUGUUGGUACAGCAGUUAUUGUCGCUGUUGGUGCAGCAGUUGUCGUUGUUGGUGCAGCAGUUGUCGUUUGUGCAGCAGUUGUUGUUUGUGCAGCAUUUGUCGUUGUUGGUACAGCAGUUGUCGUUUGUGCAGCAGUUGUCGUUUUUGCAGCAGUUGUCGUUGUUGGUGCAGCAGUUGUCGUUUGUGCAGCAGUUGUCGUUGGUGCAACAGUUGUCAAUGUUGGUGCAGCAAUUAUUGUUGUUGAUGCAGCAAUUAUCGUUGCUGGUGCAGGAAUUGUUGUUGUUGGUACAGCAGUUGUUGUUGUAGGUGCAACAGUUGUCGUUGUUAGUGAAGCAGUUGUUGGUGCAGCAGUUGUUGUUGGUGGAGCAGUUAUUGUCGUUGGUGCUGCAGUUGUCGUUGUUGAUGCAGCAAUUGUCGUUGUUGGUGCAGCAAUUGUCGUUGUUGGUGCAGAAAUUGUCGUUGGUGCAGCAGUUGUCGUUGUUGGUGCAGCAAUUGUCAUUUGUGCAGCAGUUGACGUUCGUGCAACAGUUGUCAAUGUUGGUGCAGCAGUUAUUGUCGUUGGUGAUGCAGUUGUCGUUGUUGAUGCAGCAAUUGUCGUUGUUGGUGCAGCAGUUGUCUUUUGUGCAGCAGUUGUCGUUGGUCCAGCAGUUGUCAGUGUUGGUGCCGUGGUUGUGGUUGUUGGAGCCGCUGUUAUGGUUGUUGGAGCCACUGUUGAAGUUGUUUGAGCUGCUGUUGUGGUUGUUGGAGCAGCUGUUGUGGUUGUUGGAGCUGCUGUGGUGGUUGUUGGAAGUGCUGUUGUGGUUGUUGGAGCCGCUGUUGUGGUUGUUGGAGCUGCUGUGGUGGUUGGUGGACCCAGGCCUGUUGUUGUUGGAGCUGCAGUUGUGGUUGGUGGAGGUGCUGUUGUUGUAGUUGGAACUGGAGUUGUGGUACUUGGAGCUGCUGUUGUGGUAGUUGGACCCACGGUUGUCGUUGUUGGUGCAGCAGUUGUCGUUAGUGCAGCAGUUGUCGUUGUUGGUGCAGCAGUUGUCGUUUGUGCAGCAGUUGUCAAUGUUGGUGCAGCAGUUAUUGUCGUUGAUGCUGCAGUUGUCAUUGUUGAUGCAGCAAUUGUUGGUGCAGCAGUUGUCGUUUGUGCAGCAGUUGUCGUUGGUGCAGCAGCUGUCAUGGUUGGUGCAGCAGUUAUCGUUUGUGCAGCAGUUGUCGGUGAUCCAGUAGUUGUCGGUGUUGUUGCCGCUGUUAUGGUUGUUGGAGCCGCUGUUAUGGUUGUUGGUGCCACUGUUGAAGUUGUUGGAGCUGCUGUUGUGGUAGUUGGAACUGUUGUGGUAGUUGGAACUGCUGUUGUGGUUGUUGGAGCAGCUGUUGUGGUUGUUGGAGCUGCUGUUGUGGUUGGUUGAUCCGGGCCUGUGGUUGUUGGAGCCACUGUUGUGGUUGUUGGAGCUGCUGUUGUGGUUGGUGGACCCAGGCCUGUUGUUGUUGGAGCUGCAGUUGUCGUUUGUGCAGCAGAUGUCGUUGGUGCAACAGUUGUCAAUGUUGGUGCAGCAGUUAUUGUCGUUGGUGCUGCAGUUGUCGUUGUUGAUGCAGCAGUUGUUGUUGUAGGUGCAACAGUUGUCGUUGUAGGUGCAGCAGUUGUGGUUGAUGCAGUAGUUGUUGUUGUUAGUGCAGUAGUUGUUGUUGUUGUUCCUGCAGCAGUUGUCGUUGUUGGUGCAGCAGUUGUUGUAGUUGGUGCAGCAGUUGUCGUUGUUAGUGAAGCAGUUGUUGGUGCAGCAGUUGUCAUUGGUGUAGCAGUGGUUGGUGUUGGUACAGCAGUUGUCGUUAUUGGUGCGACAGUUGUCAAUGUUGGUGCAGCAGUUAUUGUCGCUGUUGGUGCAGCAGUUGUCGUUGUUGGUGCAGCAGUUGUCGUUUGUGCAGCAGUUGUUGUUUGUGCAGCAUUUGUCGUUGUUGGUACAGCAGUUGUCGUUUGUGCAGCAGUUGUCGUUUUUGCAGCAGUUGUCGUUGUUGGUGCAGCAGUUGUCGUUUGUGCAGCAGUUGUCGUUGGUGCAACAGUUGUCAAUGUUGGUGCAGCAGUUAUUGUUGUUGAUGCAGCAAUUAUCGUUGCUGGUGCAGGAAUUGUCGUUGUUGGUACAGCAGUUGUUGUAGGUGCAACAGUUGUCGUUGUUAGUGAAGCAGUUGUUGGUGCAGCAGUUGUUGUUGGUUUAGCAGUUAUUGUCGUUGGUGCUGCAGUUGUCGUUGUUGAUGCAGCAAUUGUCGUUGGUGCAGCAGUUGUCGUUGUUGGUGCAGCAGUUGUCAUUUGUGCAGCAGUUGACGUUGGUGCAACAGAUGUCAAUGUUGGUGCAGCUGUUAUUGUCGUUGGUGAUGCAGUUGUUGAUGCAGCAAUUGUCGUUGUUGGUGCAGCAGUUGUCGUUUGUGCAGCAGUUGUCGUUGGUCCAGCAGUUGUCAGUGUUGGUGCCGUGGUUGUGGUUGUUGGAGCCGCUGUUAUGGUUGUUGGUGCCACUGUUGAAGUUGUUGGAGCUGCUGUUGUGGUUGUUGGAGCAGCUGUUGUGGUUGUUGGAGCAGCUGUUGUGGUUGUUGGAGCUGCUGUGGUGGUUGUUGGAAGUGCUGUUGUGGUUGUUGGAGCCGCUGUUGUGGUUGUUGGAGCUGCUGUGGUGGUUGGUGGACCCAGGCCUGUUGUUGUUGGAGCUGCAGUUGUGGUUGGUGGAGCCGCUGUUGUGGUUGUUGGAGCUGCUGUGGUGGUUGGUGGACCCAGGCCUGUUGUUGUUGGAGCUGCAGUUGUGGUUGGUGGAGGUGCUGUUGUUGUAGUUGGAACUGGAGUUGUGGUACUUGGAGCUGCUGUUGUGGUACUUGGAGCUGCUGUUGUGGUUGUUGGAACAGCGAUUGUGAUUGUUGGAGCCGCUGUUGUAGUGGUAGGAGCUGCUGUUGUGGUUGUGGGACCUACUGUUGUGGUUGUUGGAGCUGCUGUUGUGGUUGUUGGAACUGCUGUAGUGGUUGUUGGAACUGCUGUCAUGGUGAUUGGAGCUACUGUUGUGGUUGUUGGUCCUGCAGUUGUGGUUGUUGGACCUGCGGUUGUAGUUGUUUGACCAGCUGUUGUGGUGGUUGGAGCAGGUGUUGUAGUUGUUGGACCUGCUGUUGUGGUUGUUGGAACAGCGGUUGUGAUUGUUGGAGCCGCUGUUGUAGUGGUAGGAGCUGCUGUUGUAGUGGUAGGAGCUGCUGUUGUGGUUGUUGGAACUGCUGUUGUGGUUGUUGGAACUGAUGUCGUGGUGGUUGGAGCUACUGUUGUGGUUGUUGGUCCUGCAGUUGUGGUUGUUGGAGUUGUGGUUAUUGGACCUGCGGUUGUGGUUGUUGGAGCUGCUGUUGGGGUCAUCGGAGCCGUGGUUGUCGGACCUGUUGUUGUGGUUGC
ensembl:lncRNA